ensembl:lncRNA
GGGCAAUAAAAGGCUGGGAAAGUAAGUGUUACUACAAAGAAACAGCUGGAGGUUAAUUGGCAGCAGGUCAGUUACAUGACUGGGUUUAAAAAGAGUAUCUUAGACAGGCGGAGUCUUUCAGAAGUAAAGAUGGACAGAGGUUCACUAAUCUGUGAAAAACUACGUGUACAAUUUGUGGAACAUUUUCAGAAUAAUGUUCCUCAACGUAAAACUGCAAUGACGUUGAAUAUCCCAUCAUCUACAGGACAUAAUAUCAUCAAAAGAUUCUGAGAAUCGGGAGAAAUCUCUGUGCACAAGAGACGAGGGUGAAAAUGAAUGCCCGUGAUCUUCGGAUCCUCAGGCGGCACUGCAUUAAAGACAGGCCUGAUUCUGUAAUGGAAAUCACUGCAUGGGCUCAGAAACUCCUCCAGAACUCAGAACGUGCCAUCCACAAAUACUGGAUAAAGCUUUAUCAUGCAAAGAAGAAGCCAUAUGUGAACAUGAUCCAGAAACUCCACCGUCUUCUCUGUUCUUCCAUGUUUCUAUGUUCUAUUGUGAAUAUGUUCUAUAUGUUUCUAUGUUCUAAUGUUCUCCUCUGGUCUUCCAGGUUUUCUCAUUUCCUCCCACUUCCCAAAGAAAACAUGCCAAAGAAAGAGGGAGCUCUUAGGCAAUGGCUGCAGCUGCUGGAGAGGAGAUACGUCGAACAAAUCCACAUCAGACCAUGUUAGUCGGCAUUUGCCCAAACACCUCGAUGAUAUGAAUUACUCCACUUCCUUGUGCUGCGGUUAGUUAGGAGAAGACAAACUUAAGGCUCUCAAACAUAAGUUCAUCACAUCUCAUGACUUGCUUAAGCUCAUGAAAGACAAUUUGUGUCACAGUUUGUUCAGUGUUGUAUAUGAAAUUUGUGACUUCCUCUUCCUAAACUUCAGCUAUAGGUCCAAAAGCCUGAACUAAUUUUCUUUCAUGUCUGUCAUUGCAUCAUACAGGUGUUGUAAUGGUGUUCCAGCAUGUCAGUGGUUUAUCUGUAAUGUAAUAUAGACAUAGACAUAGUUAUAGAUUAUUGUAUAACGUGAGUUUGAC